CCGGAGGUAAACGCUGAGAUUGUCCUAAUUCUAACACAUCUCUCCAUAUUUUGACAUUUGGAGGUAAAUUAGGAAUUUGAUCGAACAAUUGCUUAGGAACCGGGAUAUUUAGCAUCUCAAUAUUUAUACGGUUAUUAUUCGUAGCAUUCACAUUAGGAUUAUUUGGAGGAGCAGCAGUUCGCUGAGGUUGCUGUUGCUGAGUAGAAGGUUGGUCUUGUGGAGACAUACUUUGAAGAGACUGGGCACCAACGUUACCUUGAGGGUUUGGAAAAAAAGCAUUUUGCGGAGCUUGCUUUUGUUGUUGUUGUUGUUGUUGUUGUUGUUGUUGUUGUUGUUGUUGUUGUUGUUGUUGUUGUUGUUGUUGUUGUUGUUGUUGUUGCUGCUGUUGUUGCUGCAUAUGCUGCAAUGAACGAAAUUUUUGAAUCUGGUUUUGAUAUAUUGAAAUAAGUCUCGCAGGUGGCAUCGAUUGUAAUUUUUGCAUAGGAAUUGGUGGAUUGCCAUUCCUUGCAAGCAAAGCUGUAAUUUGAUUACAUAAAUUAUUUAACUGUUGUUGGGUCAAUGCAGGAACUAUUCGACCAGGAACACUACCAGAUCUUUGUUGGUUUGCUUCUGUAUUGGGAGCUGUUGGUGAUGAAGCUUGCGGUUGUUGUGUUUGUUGAGGUUGUUGCGACUGCUGCUGUUGCUGCUGCCUUUGUUGCUGGAUUUGAGAUUGUUGAAGUAAAAAUUGCCUUUGUUGUGGGGUCAACUUCAUAUUUCUAGCAAACUGUUGCAUUCCUGCUUGCAUUGGAACAUUUUGGUUUUGAAGUCUCGGCAUUACUCUGGGAUUAUUUGCCAACCUGUUAGGUCCGGCAGUAGGGAGAGCUCCAACAUUACCCGCAUUGUUAUACACAGAAGGCAUUUGUUUCAUUUGGGUUGCCUGCAAUGUGUCACGUAUUUGAUCUCUCAAUUGUGCUGUCUUCUUGCCACAUGUAGUUAAGUAUUCAUUCUAUUACUGGUAAGUACAAAAUUAAUUGAAUUUUUUUUUUCAAUACCUUGCUACUGGCACCAUCAAAAGCCUGACGCUCAAAUGACAAAGCCAUAUUCAUGAGUUGGACUUCGGAAAUUGAGGGAGAGAUAAUUCGUAAAGUUUGAGCACUAAAUACAAAAGUUAGAUGAAGGGUUUUAAAAAAUGAUGGCAUACAUUUGCAAGGCAAUGCUCUGUCUCUCAUUAGGACGAAUUUGUGCUUGCCAUCCCUUAUCAACAUUCCGGUUCAUCCCUCCAAAUAUAUGAUCUAUAAGACGUUAGUGAAUUAUUGUACAUUACUAAAAAGCGUACCAGUUAUUUCUGAUAAUUUUGCAAAUAUAUUUAUUGCAACGCUGAUGGUCGGUGGAAGACGAACUUAAGUUACCGUACACCAUAUAUCAGCGCUGAUCGUCACAAGGUAACCAAUACAGUGGUUUGCUCACAGCUAUCGAUGAUAAGCUAAAUCACGGUCGCUGAUACAUGAGAACACGUUAAAAUUCAUUAUUUAGUAUAAAUCUAAGA